AUUUAUGUUAUCGUACAUAUCAUAUGCAUUCAAUACACACUUAAACUCCAAAUUUGAUCUCGGUGAAAGCGAAUAACGAACUCAAUCGGUAAAGGUUAUUUUAACUGAAAUAUCGUUAAAAUUUGACAGUUUAUCGAAAAUAACUUAUCAAAAACGACGAAAUUCGGCAAUUUACGUUCAUUACUGAUUAUCGGCAAACUGUUUUGCCAAAGCAAUCGGCAAACUAAUCAUGUUGCUGAAACUCGGUAAAGCGCAUCUGUCAAAAAUAAAGACGAAGCGCGUUGCCGGCUGCCAUCUUCAAAAAAGCAUUUUUCCCUUUCAUCGCUGAAAUGGUUCUCUUCGUUGUUCUGCAGAAGGAGCGCUGCAGGACGGAGUGCCGGAUUACAGCUUCAAAUGCGCCUGUUUUUUUUGCUGACGGAGAAGUCAACAAACCUACAGCAAAAUGGUCCGUACCAAGCAAUCCGCUCAAAAAACCACCGGAGAAAAGGCUUUCCGUUAGCAGCUGGCAACAAAGGUCGCCCGCAAAAGUGCUCCCUCGACCGACGGAGUGGAGUAGCCGCAUCGUUACCGGCCGGGAACGGUAGCUCUGCGAGAAAUCCGUCGCUACCAAAAGUCCACCGAGAUGCUGAUCCGGAUGUUGCAGAUCCAGCGCUUGUGUGAAAAUGCGCAGGUUUUGGAGAUGGGCCUGCGUUUCCAAAAUGCGUUUAUUAUCUUGCAGCGAAGCGUACUUGGUCGGAUUGUUUGAGGACACCAUCUUUAGGCGAUCCACGCCAAACGCGUCACCAGCUAACUGGCCCUGGUCCGGUGCAUCCGUGACGAGCGUGCUCAAGGAGGAGUAGGAGGAAGUGUGGAAUUAUGUUUUUGUUUUUAACAAUGAGUUAAAGAAACGAUAAAAAGCGAGAAGGUCCUUCUCAGAACCAGAAAUUUCAACAAAAAAAAAACAUUCCGUUGCAUAUUUUUUCGUAAUAUGUUUGCGAGAAUAAAAUUGGUAACCUAAUUAUA